CACGCAGGCGGAUUGAUAAGUCAGGGGUGAAAUCCCGGGGCUCAACCUCGGAAUUGCCUUUGAUACUGUCUGUCUUCGAGUUCGGGAGAGGUUGGCGGAAUUCCUAGUGUAGAGGUGAAAUUCGUAGAUAUUAGGAAGAACACCAGUGGCGAAGGCGGCCAACUGGCCCGAUACUGACGCUCAUGUGCGAAAGCGUGGGGAGCAAACAGGAUUAGAUACCCUGGUAGUCCACGCUGUAAACUAUGGAUGCUAGCCGUUGGGGAGCUUGCUCUUCAGUGGCGCAGCUAACGUCUUAAGCAUCCCGCCUGGGGAGUACGGUCGCAAGAUUAAA
rnacentral:rRNA from 1 species